rnacentral:lncRNA from 1 species
UCUAAGGAUGAGGAUUAAAUGAGAGGCACUGAGGGCUGGGCCUGCCCCCCAGCACACUCUAGGCGGAGCAGGUGUUCGUCUUUUGUGGGCACUCGAUUCCCUCCCUAGGUGUUGCUACCGUCCCAUGCGAUGAGUGGCGCCUUUCCACGCCAAUUCCAGACACUCGAGUUCCCGCGCUUCUUCGCAGCUGGGAUGCAGCCAUGCGGCCUGAGUUCCUCCAGGCAGACUCACCCGGGUGAGAAUCAGAAUGGAGCUUUGUGUGGUGGUGGCUGUGCCCAAGGGAUCUGAGCUUCUAGAAGACACUGUGGCAACACUUUUGGUUUCUGCAGGGGCUCAGCAGUGGCUGAGCCUUGUGUCCGGGCCCAAUCUCAUCAGGACAGACACGGUGGCUGUGGUGUGUUGCUAAAGCAGCCCCGUGGUGUGGUUGAAGUCUUUCCUUCUGCGCAGCUUUGGAGCCUGCAUUCCAAUCCUCCCAGGGGUUUGGGAACACUUCAUAUCUCGACGCAAAUCCCUUUCUUGCUUUAACCAGCCAAAGCGACUCUGCUGUUUGCAACUGAGUUCCCGGACACAUGCAGUAAGCGGUCACUGAACAACGCUCCUGAGUCACUUUCUCCAAGGUGACUGGGACACACCAGGAUAAACUCAGCUCAUCGCAGAGGCCUCUGCUGCAGUCUUGGUUGGCAGCCCAGCCCUUGCGGGCACCAGCCCCUGCCAGAGCCACGAACAACCGGAUAUAAGGACAAAUGGAUGAGUCACCGGGAGCAAUCACAGGACGACAGCAAGCCUGGGUGCCAAAUGGCGGAGAUUCCGCCUGGCAAUGGCAGGGCACAGUGCUGGGCUGACGGGAGGCACCUCUCCGGGCAGACCCUCCAGGGGAGGCACAGUCUUGCUGGAAGGAAGGCAAGGGAACACUUUGGGGGUUCCAGCAGGAGCCGGCCCUGGACACCCAGCAGGACGGAGCUGGCCCAGCCACUCUGCAGAGUCCUCCCAGGCUCCGGGAGCUGCGCCAAGUUCUGGGGGCCGGAAGUCUGCAAUCAAGGUGUCAGCAGGGCCGAGCUCCCUCAGGGUGUUCCCAGGAGGACCUUUCCUCGCCUCCUCCAGCUUCUGGUAAGGAAACCAGGCUUUGGGGAAGUGAAGGACCUGGCCCAGGGCCUGCAUUUGAACCCAACCAUCUGGCUCCAGAGCCUUGCCCUAAACCAGGGCUCUGAAUACGGCAUCCUGCAGGCCAAACCUGACCCACCUGGUCUGUGUUUGUAUGGCCCAUGAGCUGAGAGUGGCCUUUCCAUUUUUAGACGGUUAUUUAAAAAAAAAAAGAAUGUAAUAAUGUGGCCUGCAAAGCCUAAACUCCUUACUCUCUGUCCUUUUAUAUAAAAACUCCUGCCCUAAACCAUGAGGCCACACAGCCUCCCACACCCUCCAC